CAGCGGGCCUAGCAUGACCGCCAUAGAAACAGCUUUUGUCUACCGAAGAAUCGACAAAAUGACAGAUUGAAGAAAGAUUUCUAUCGAUCCGAGCAUGGCGAUGUUUGACAUCGAGAAAAGAAAUGUUUCUUUUCUUCGUCGACAUGUGUCUAUCGCGGCGAGCAUGACGACUAUAUUUUCUCUACUUUUGACAUUUGGGAGUAGAUAUAACUUUCUAUAUGAAAUGUCAAAUACUCUACAUCUCAUCGGACCUAGACAAGAGUAGACAAGAAUAUUAUUAUAAUUUUAAGAUCUCAAAAAGCAUUUACAAAGUAUGUCGGGGUCCUACCGUCGUCAUGUGGUCAGUUUUUAUGCUGAGAAGAAUCAGUGUAAAGCUCAAAGAACGAGCUAUACGAGUGUUAAGCCUCUCGACAUUGAAAACGUAAAUGUGCAGAGAUGGUGCAGUAUUUGUGCGGAAUCUGUCUCCUAGGAUAUUUUAGGGUCUGCCUGUUCAUAUCAAUGUUCUUUGUUCGGGUCCUGCUUAGGUCAUUAACAACAUUACUAACCACUGUUAGCAAAUUUUUUAAGCAAUUUGUUUUUGCAGUGAAUACAAGGGUGCCUAUGCUACAACUCUUCCCGAAGAAAGGCAGAGAGAGAGACACACUAAUGACCUUAGCGGUAGCUUACUACAAGCUGCAACUCACAGAAGAGCAACUAUUAUGAAUAUCUUUGUAUAUCAACAGUUCUUCAAACCAUACAGACAGAAUUGAGUUGCUGGAGAGUUUGGUCCACCGCUUCUGCUGCUGAUUUUCAGCCUAUUUUGAAUAAAUGACUUUAUCUGUAGC